ensembl:lncRNA
CCUGCCGGGGUGAAACUCCAGCGCCGCACCCGCGCCUGACCUCCCCGAGCCCCGCCCCUUCCCGGUACGGGACCCCCACCUUCGCUCCCGGGAGCCCCGCUGCACCCCAGAGUUCCAUUCCUGCUUCCCCAGUGCGAGUGCGGCCGAGCGCUGACUUUUGGGGGCUCCCUUCCCCGUCUCACUGGGUCCCUCUGCGGCUCCCCCGCCCGCUGUCCCGCCUCAGACGUGGCUGCACCCCGGAGCGGGGCGCCGGCCGAGUCCUGAGACGUGGCGAUGCCGCUCUGCCGGCCUCGGCUCCAGUGCUUGAAUUUCAGCCACAUCCCUAAGCUGCCAUCUCAGACCAGAGGAACAGGGAGGGGGCUUUCUGGAAAGAACAUCACCUGGAAGAAAUCAGGACAUGACUGUGGGCCAUGAGUGACCUUCAAGGAAAGCCAGAUCCAUGACAUUUAAGAACUGAAGAAACGAAAAGAUUGUCUGAUCAGUCCCAUCGGUCUUUUUCCUAAUGCUAAACAUUGAUACAAAGAUGUGAAGUUUGAUGUCUCACUAAGACUGCCUAGUGCUGCUUUAUUGCUCACCUACUUCAAAGUAUUGGGAAAACAUGAUUAUGGGUACAGGUGAGGCUGGGUUGCACCCAAACAGGUUUCUUUUGUCGGAUUCUUUUGAUGGAUUAGGAAUCUACAAGUGGGGAGAUUUAAGGGAAAUAGCCCCUACACUUGCAUUUUCUUUACGUCUUUAGGGUUCUCUUGCCCUGAGAAACACGCAUUCCUCUUUAGUGUAGCAGCCCACUCUAUUGGCAAAGUUAAGCAGACUAGUUUUAUUUAAAAAGAGCCACCCAGAACCUUAGACAGAUAGAAAAUACUUGAGGCGCAGAUGAGAGUGAGCACAAAUGUGCAUAGCACAUGCAGUUUCCUGGCCCUUAAACUGAAGGGCCACGUCAGUCUGCUCCUCCAGGCACAGCCUGGGACCCCAUCAUGUGCCCGGCUCUGCAGUCUGAGCUUCUACUCAAGUCCACCAAGGCCUGCCUCACACAGCCCAUGUCUGGUCAGAGGGUUGCACUUUGCCACUGCCAUAUGUUCCCAGAGGUUGGCACAGCAUGACCUGGACCUCACCUAACCCAGGCAAACUCGGCUCAUCUUUGAGCUCUGUGGAACCCAUUUCUCACGGAAGAACCACAUUUCCACACCUCACAGCCAUGUUCAAGGAAGCAGCCUGGGUAAAGCAAUGACUCAAGGAUACAACAAGCAGACCACACAAUUAACAAGACGUGCUGACUCGCAGGAGCAGCUGGGGGAGGGUAGGUGUCGUUUUCCCUGUUUAUUUUUUUUCUUAAGAAGAGUUUACUGAUUCUUCUUUCAGUACGGGCCUUUUAAUAAGAUACUGUGCUUUACUUCAGCUACGUGUGCAGAAAAUUAAAGGAUUCUAGAAGUC